rnacentral:lncRNA from 8 species
AUGGUGAGUGUUCGUCUGGGCCUGGUCACCUCAUCAGGCAGUGUAGAGCAGACCUUCCAUAUCAGCGUGGUGGAUGAGAACAACACGCCACAGUGUGAACCUCUGUUCCAGCUGCCUGGAGUUGAGGUUCAUGUCCCAGAGAACCUUCCUGUUCCUGUGACCCUCUACACUGUCCUGGCCUCCGACGCAGACCGCAAUGACACACUCUCUUUCUCUAUCAGUCAGGUCUUGCCCAACUCCUCCAAAGGACAGUUCCACGUCAGUGCAGGCGGCAGCAUCAUCUCAAGCCAACCAUUUGAUUACCACACAGGGCCAAGGGAGUUGAUGCUGUCUGUGGUUGUGAGAGACAAACAGGGGGCUAACUGUACUGGGACAGUCAGGAUCAAGGUGCUGAAAGUCUACAACCUUCCUCUGGAUCUGCUGUGA